UACGUAGGUGGCAAGCGUUGUCCGGAAUUAUUGGGCGUAAAGCGCGCGCAGGCGGUUCCUUAAGUCUGAUGUGAAAGCCCCCCGGCUCAACCGGGGAGGGUCAUUGGAAAACUGGGGAACUUGAGUACUGAAGAGGAAAGCGGAAUUCCACGUGUAGCGGUGAAAAUGCGUAGAGAUGUGGAGGAACACCAGUGGCGAAGGCGGCUUUCUGGUCAGUAACUGACGCUGAGGCGCGAAAGCGUGGGGAGCAAACAGG
rnacentral:rRNA from 1 species